rnacentral:lncRNA from 1 species
UUCACUCACUAUUUUAUGAUUCAAGACAACAACAUCAAACCAUAGUCUUCUAUCUAAAUGAGAAGUCUACUCUAUAGAACAAGCCAUAGUCUUCUAUCUAAAUGAAAUUAGUGAUGAUGAGUUUCCAUGGGUCUUCUUCUUCUUCCCUUAUUUCUUAUUUCUCUCUUCUUGUUUCUUCUCUUUUCCUCUUCUCUUCUUCUUAUCCUUU